GUAGUAGAGGUGCGGGCAACAAAAGUACUUUCAGGGAGCGUGGUAGCGAUGAUCUGAAAGGAAAGGGUUGCCCGCCGAAGCGGAUUGUGUCGCCAUGGCAUUUCCGCUGGUCUUGCAUAGAAUAUAUGCAAGAUUGUCACCAUGGAAUUCAUGGUGGAGCGCUA
rnacentral:ncRNA from 1 species